rnacentral:rRNA from 1 species
AUUCCAGCUCCAAUAGCGUAUAUUAAAGUUGUUGCAGUUAAAAAGCUCGUAUUUGAAUUCUUGUUUUGCGGGGUUCGCUUCGAACGAAAUGUUUGUUGAAUAGUAACUUUCCGCAGGACUUUUUUGGGGUUUUUGUUUUCGGAGGUUCUUAACUGAGCUUUCGGAGGCGUCCCAUCGUUUACUGUGAAAAAUUAGAGUGUUUUAAGCAGGCUUUUAUUGCUGUGAAUACAUUAGCAUGGAAUAAUAAGAUAGGACCUUGGUGCUAUUUUGUUGGUGUUGCACACCAGGGUAAUGAUUAACAGGGACAGUUGGGGGUAUUCGUAUUUAGAUGUCAGAGGUGAAAUUCUUGGAUUUUCGAAAGACGAACUACUGCGAAAGCAUUUACCAAGGAUGUUUUCAUUA